AACGAACGCUGGCGGCAGGCCUAACACAUGCAAGUCGAGCGAAGCCUUCGGGCUUAGCGGCGGACGGGUGAGUAACGCGUGGGAACGUGCCCUUUGCUACGGAAUAGCCCCGGGAAACUGGGAGUAAUACCGUAUGUGCCCUUCGGGGGAAAGAUUUAUCGGCAAAGGAUCGGCCCGGGUUGGAUUAGGUAGUUGGUGGGGUAAUGGCCUACCAAGCCGACGAUCAAUAGCUGGUUUGAGAGGAUGAUCAGCCACACUGGGACUGAGACACGGCCCAGACUCCUACGGGAGGCAGCAGUGGGGAAUCUUAGACAAUGGGCGGAAGCUUGAUCUAGCCAUGCCGCGUGAUCGAUGAAGGCCUUAGGGUUGUAAAGAUCUUUCAGGUGGGAAGAUAAUGACUGUACCACCAGAAGAAGCCCCGGCUAACUCCGUGCCAGCCGCCGCCGUAAUAC
rnacentral:rRNA from 1 species